rnacentral:tRNA from 6 species
GGCGUAGUGGUGAAGUGGAAACACUGCGGUCUGCAAAACCGCCACGCGCGGGUUCGAUUCCCGCCUACGCCU